AGCGAACGCUGGCGGCAGGCCUAACACAUGCAAGUCGAACGAAGUCUUCGGACUUAGUGGCGGACGGGUGAGUAACACGUGGGAACGUACCUCUUGGUUCGGAACAACUCAGGGAAACUUGAGCUAAUACCGGAUGAGCCCUUAGGGGGAAAGAUUUAUCGCCGAAAGAGCGGCCCGCGUUAGAUUAGCUAGUUGGUGAGGUAAAGGCUCACCAAGGCUACGAUCUAUAGCUGGUCUGAGAGGAUGAUCAGCGACACUGGGACUGAGACACGGCCCAGGCUCCUACGGGAGGCAGCAGUGGGUAAUCUUGCGCAAUGGGCGAAAGCCUGACGCAGCCAUGCCGCGUGAAUGAUGAAGGUCUUAGGAUUGUAAAAUUCUUUUACCAGGGACGAUAAUGACGGUACCUGGAGAAAAAGCCCCGGCUAACUUCGUGCCAGCCGCCGCUGUAAAAC
rnacentral:rRNA from 1 species